rnacentral:rRNA from 1 species
UACAGAGGGUGCAAGCGUUGCUCGGAAUUAUUGGGCGUAAAGGGUAGGUAGGUGGUCUCGUUUGUCUGAGGUGAAAUCCCUGGGCUUAACUCAGGAAGUGCCUUAGAAACGGCGAGACUGGAGUCCUGGAGAGGUUCGCGGAAUUCCCGGUGUAGCGGUGAAAUGCGUAGAGAUCGGGAGGAACACCAGUGGCGAAGGCGGCUAUCUGGGCUGCAACUGACGCUGAGGCGCGAAGGCUAGGGUAGCAAACAGG